rnacentral:lncRNA from 1 species
AAGGAAGGGAAAACAAACCUGUGUGUGGCAGGUAACUCGGGGAGCUUCUUUGCCUCCCUGUUGUCAGCAGGAAUGUGAUCUGGCUCACAAGAGCUGUUUUAACAAUCAUAACGCUCUCAGUUGGUAAAUAUUGCUUCAUGGGAACUCCCCUGCUCAUCAAUCUAGAGUUUGAAAUAGCUCUGUGAGCUCUCAGGGCUGUGUUGUUCUCACUGAUUCAUGGCAAACCCCCAGUAACCGCUGUGAAAAUGUUAGACUAUUUGUGAAACUUUGGAGAGCAGCUUCUAGCAACUCUUACUUAUUUUGUGAUUCUGAGGUGUCUGAAGGAUGGUCUCAAACGUGACUAGUUUUUCAAGGAUCACCACUUCGUGUAAUCUCUGUGGAUGCCAUUCAUAUUGAAUUCUAUGUAAAUGGCGCCCCCUGGAGGAGUGGAACAGACUGCCACCCAUUCUAAAUGAAUGAUCUAGCACUAUGUGUACAUGAUUCCUGUGCCCCUGGAGACUCCUCCUCCCACACUAAACUAGCAAUACUGAGGACCAGUCCCUGGGACCUAUGAGACGGCUAUCUCUGAGAGUCCAGCCCUUGAGACAGAUUUUCCUAGAAAACACUCCAACUGACCCAAGACCUUCAAUUCUUGAAACAAGUAGGGAGGAGAAGGUGGUAAAGAAAUCCAAGUGCUAUUGUGAUGUGUGUCUUCCCUCUCUAUUUUGGGAUGAAAUUAUUUCAAGAUUUGAUUUACACAGUAGAAAUCGUGACUGUAAGCUUUGGACAGGUAUCUAGGCACUUACUAGUGUUCCCUCUUGUCUCGAGAAUGAGACAGCCAGGAGUGCCAGAUAUUUCCCAGUCUUGCCUCCGCUCUCAUAUCUAGAAACAAGAGCCUCCCAAAGGUCUCUCAUUCCUCAAGGUCCAUGGGAAGCCCAGUGGCUCAAUGGGAAAGCGUCAGUGACAAAUAUGUGUCUUUGUGAGAGAGCAAGAAGUCAGUCUCUUGGUUUGAACCAUUUGGUCUAGAAGACUAUCAUUCUACCAGGAGCAUAAAUUAUUAUUCUAUCAGGGGCAUAAAACCCCAAAGAAGUUUUGCAUAAGACACCAAACUCCAUGUCUCAUCACCCUCCUCCCCCAUUGGAAGGUCACACUUACCCAUGUGUCCAUGCUUCUCUCUGACCUGCACGUCUUCCAAGAACACCUGUAUUCAAAGCAUUGGUCCACCACCUAACAACUAUAUGGCUUUACUUAACCUUUCUGGGCCUUUGUUUCCUGGUUUAUGGGAUGGUUAUAGGGAUUACAGAUAGAGUGAUACAGACAGAGAAAGCUGAGAGCAGUGACUGACACAUCCUUGCAUUAUAUAAAUGUUACCUGUUAUUUUUAUUGUUCACACAUGCUUGUUAAG